rnacentral:rRNA from 1 species
UAGUAACGGCGAGUGAAGCGGGAAGAGCUCAAAUUUGAAAUCUGGCGGUCUCGCGGCCGUCCGAGUUGUAGUCUAGAGAGGCGUUAUCCGCGGCGGACCACGUACAAUUCCUUUGGGAUGCGGCGUCAUAGAGGGUGAGAAUCCCGUCCAUGACGUGGACUACCGUUGCUUUGCGUUGCGCCUUCGAAGAGUCGAGUUGUUUGGGAAUGCAGCUCAAAACGGGUGGUAAAUUCCAUCUAAAGCUAAAUAUUGGCGAGAGACCGAUAGCGAACAAGUACCGUGAGGGAAAGAUGAAAAGAACUUUGGAAAGAGAGUUAAACAGUACGUGAAAUUGCUGAAAGGGAAACGCUUGAAGUCAGUCGCGUCUUCGAGGAUUCAGCUCGGCUUCUGUCGGGCGCACUUCCUCUGGAGACGGGCCAGCGUCAGUUUCGGGCGUCGAAGAAUGGCGRGAGGAAUGUGGCACCUUCSGGUGUGUUAUAGCCUCUUGUCGGACGCGACGCUUGGGACUGAGGACCGCUUUUAAUAGGAUGCUGGCGUAAUGGCUUUAAA